UACGGAGGGUGCGAGCGUUGUCCGGAAUCACUGGGCGUAAAGGGCGCGUAGGCGGCAUGCCAAGCGUGUGGUGAAAGCCCGGGGCUCAACCCCGGGUCGGCCGUGCGGACUGGCGUGCUCGAGCACUGUAGGGGCGGGUGGAAUUCCGGGUGUAGCGGUGGAAUGCGUAGAGAUCCGGAAGAACAUCAGUGGCGAAGGCGGUCUGCUGGGCCGUUGCUGACGCUGAGGCGCGACAGCGUGGGGAGCAAACAGG
rnacentral:rRNA from 1 species